CACAAGUCUCCUGAAAUGUAUAAGCUGUUAAAUAUUAUUUUAAUAUUUCUGUUCAUCGUCACUGACUAUACUGCAGGCUUGGUUCAAGGAAGUUUGGAUCGACGAUGCUUCAGACGGAAGAAAUCUAAUCGCUAUGGACGUGUCUGCGUGGAGAACAGGGAAAAUUGGUAUUACGACAUGGAGAAAGAUGACUGCAUUUUUAGCAAGGUCGGUGGUUGCGGAGACACUAAUGACGAUUUUGAUACAAAACUAGACUGCACAAUUUCCUGCAUCCACGAAGAACAUAUAAACAUGUAAUUGGACGGCACAGAUAAGAAGUAGCAUCACUUCCAACAUCUCCGGAGACCAU